GCGCGAAAACUUUACAAUGCGGGAAACCGUGAUAAGGGGACACCGAGUGCUAGCAUCAUAUGCUGGCUGUCCAGGUGUGUAAAAUACACCUGUUAGCAAGGGCCGGGCAAGACCGGUGCCAGCCGCCGCGGUAACACCGGCGGCCCGAGUGGUGAUCGUGAUUAUUGGGUCUAAAGGGUCCGUAGCCGGUUUGGUCAGUCCUCCGGGAAAUCUGACAGCUCAACUGUUAGGCUUUCGGGGGAUACUGCCAGACUUGGAACCGGGAGAGGUAAGAGGUACUACAGGGGUAGGAGUGAAAUCUUGUAAUCCCUGUGGGACCACCUGUGGCGAAGGCGUCUUACCAGAACGGGUUCGACGGUGAGGGACGAAAGCUGGGGGCACGAACCGG
rnacentral:rRNA from 1 species